GGGGUCGUAGUCUAGCCUGGUUCAAAAAGCAGGAAAGGACGGGUGGCUCCAGACCACUUAGCGCGCGUUCAAAUCGCGCCGACCCCA
rnacentral:tRNA from 1 species